UUUCCGUAGGUGAACCUGCGGAAGGAUCAUUACAGUAGUCGCCUGGGUUGCCGCAAGGCCUCCCGGGUAACCUACCACCCUUUGUUUAUUACACUUUGCUGCUUUGGCAGGCCUGCCCCCGGGCUGCUGGCUCCGGCCGGCGAGCGCUUGCCAGAGGACCUAAACUCUGUUUGUCUAUACUGUCUGAGUACUAUAUAAUAGUUAAAACUUUCAACAACGGAUCUCUUGGUUCUG
rnacentral:misc_RNA from 1 species